UACGUAGGGCGCAAGCGUUAUCCGGAAUUAUUGGGCGUAAAGAGCUCGUAGGCGGCUUUGUCAGUCGGGUGUGAAACCUCCAGGCUCAACCUGGAGCCGCCACCCGAUACUGCAAUAGCUAGAGUCCGGUAGGGGAGCAUGGAACUCCUGGUGUAGCGGUGAAAUGCGCAGAUAUCAGGAAGAACACCAGUGGCGAAGGCGGUGCUCUGGGCCGGAACUGACGCUGAGGAGCGAAAGCGUGGGGAGCAAACAGG
rnacentral:rRNA from 1 species